GACGAACCACACAAACGUUAUUCGGAAUUACUGGGCUUAAAGGGUGCGUAGGCUGCGCAGGAAGUUGGGUGUGAAAUCCCUCGGCUCAACCGAGGAACUGCGCCCAAAACUACUGUGCUCGAGGAAGACAGAGGUGAGCGGAACUUAGUGUGGAGCGGUGAAAUGCGUUGAUAUCCUAAGGAACACCCGUGGCGAAAGCGGCUCACUGGGUCUUUUCUGACGCUGAGGCACGAAAGCUAGGGUAG
rnacentral:rRNA from 1 species